rnacentral:lncRNA from 1 species
ACAUCAAAGUGAGGAUGUGGUGGGUUCUCUUGGUGUGAAAUUUCGGAUUUCCCUGGGUCUUCCAAUAGGAACCAUGAUCAACUGUGCUGGUAACACAGAAGCCAAAAAUCUGUAUGUCAUCUCUGUGAAGGGGAUCAAGGGUGAGCUGAACAGACUUCCUGCUGCUGGUAUGGGUGACAUGAUGAUGGCCACAGUCAAGAAAGGCACACCAGAGCUCAGAAAGAAGGUAGAUCCAGUGGUGGUCAUUUAGCAACAAAAGGCAAACUGGAGAAAAGAUGGCAUGUUGUUUUAUCUUGAAGAUAAUACAGGGGUCAUAGUGAACAAUAAAGGUGAGAUGAAAAGUUCUGUCAUCACAGGACCAGCUGCAAAAACACUCUGCAGACUUGUGGCCCCAGUGAAUGAUCCGCUGGCA